rnacentral:rRNA from 1 species
AGAGUUUGAUCAUGGCUCAGAACGAACGCUGGCGGCAGGCUUAACACAUGCAAGUCGAACGCGUGUAGCAAUACACGAGUGGCGCACGGGUGAGUAACGCGUGGAUAUCUGCCUUUUGGUUCGGAAUAACCCCGGGAAACUGGGGCUAAUACCGGAUGGUUCCUACGGGAUAAAGAUUUAUCGCCAAAAGAGGAGUCCGCGUCCGAUUAGCUAGUUGGUGAGGUAACGGCUCACCAAGGCAACGAUCGGUAGCUGGUCUGAGAGGACGAUCAGCCACACUGGGACUGAGACACGGCCCAGACUCCUACGGGAGGCAGCAGUGGGGAAUAUUGGACAAUGGGGGCAACCCUGAUCCAGCCAUGCCGCGUGAGUGAUGAAGGCCUUCGGGUUGUAAAGCUCUUUUGGCGGGGACGAUGAUGACGGUACCCGCAGAAUAAGCCCCGGCUAACUUCGUGCCAGCAGCCGCGGUAAGACGAAGGGGGCUAGCGUUGUUCGGAAUUACUGGGCGUAAAGCGCGUGCAGGCGGUUAUCCAAGUUGGAUGUGAAAGCCUUGAGCUCAACUCAAGAAAUGCAUUCAGGACUGGGUGACUAGAGGACCGGAGAGGAUAGUGGAAUUCCCAGUGUAGUGGUGAAAUACGUAGAGAUUGGGAAGAACACCAGUGGCGAAGGCGGCUAUCUGGACGGUUUCUGACGCUGAGACGCGAAAGCGUGGGGAGCAAACAGGAUUAGAUACCCUAGUAGUCC